rnacentral:rRNA from 1 species
UCCACGCUGUAAACGAUGUAUACUAGAUGUCAGACUCGAUCAAAAGAGAUUGGUGUCGAAGCUAACGCGAUAAGUAUACCGCCUGGGGAGUACGGUCGCAAGAUUAAAACUCAAAGGAAUUGACGGGGGCCCGCACAAGCGGUGGAGCAUGUGGUUUAAUUCGAUGCAACGCGCAGAACCUUACCCGGUCUUGACAUCCUCUGGACGGAACCUAGAGAUAGGAUCUUCUUCUUCGGAAGCUGGAGUGACAGGUGCUGCAUGGCUGUCGUCAGCUCGUGUUGUGAGAUGUUGGGUUAAGUCCCGCAACGAGCGCAACCCUUGUCGUUAGUUGCCAUCAUUAAGUUGGGCACUCUAGCGAGACUGCCGAGGUUAACUCGGAGGAAGGCGGGGAUGACGUCAAGUCCUCAUGGCCCUUAUGACCGGGGCUACACACGUGCUACAAUGGUAGGGACAGAGUGAAGCUAAGCAGCGAUGCCAUGCAAAUC